rnacentral:lncRNA from 1 species
GGGGGUGGUUUGGCUUAUGACCCUAGCAUUGCAACCUCACUUCCUUGGCGACAGGUCCAAACAGAACUCGGAACCCUGGAGUCACUGAGCACCACAGUCCAGUGACGGCUGCCUAACAGUCACUUGGCUGGAGAGAGUCAGCAGCAAUCAUGCUGUGCUGCUUUCCCAGGCCUUGAAGCUGCAGCAACAGGACCCUGCGCAGGGAAAGCACUUGGGCGUGAGAGAGAGGAUGGAUCGCUAAGUCCCCGUGCUUCAGGCCACUCACCAGGAACUGCCUGGCCAUCAGGGGCAGCACAGGGCGGGUCUCACCAGACCCGGAGACCUGGGGACCUGAGAUGAGCGGGAGCCCAGGGCAGAUUUCCCUGGACCUGGACACCAGACACUUGGGCCCACCGAGUCCAGGACAGGUCCAGUUAGGCCUGGCCACCACUAUUGGGGCCCAACGGGAGGAGAGCCGGGCAGAGGACUGCAUGGUGAGGACGGCACUGGCAGGCAUGCAGCGGCCCCUGAGGGAGCCCCCGGAACGGGACUUCCUGGACAGCCGCCCCAUCCGCACAGACUCCCUCCUGGACCCCUCUGGGGCCUGCAUUCCCGCCCUGCAGGAGGGAAUGGUGCGAAGGCGAGCUCUGUGGUCGGCACCCAGGGGCACUUGGCCACUGUGGCCCCAAGUCUUUGGAAGGUCCUCCUUUUUUGUCCUCCACUUCUUGGUGGAGCUGCACUCCCAGGAGAAUCCACCAGCUGAACUCCUGGCCCAGCUGGAGCAAGCUGAGUCCACUGAGGCACAGCCCACGGGACCAGCUCCAGCCCCAGCUGAAGUCCCACGUGCGGAGCCCGAGCCAGCUCCACCUGCAGCUUCCUGCCCAGGCUGGGACCACAGCCAGAGUCCGUGGCAGCCUCUUCACCUGCUGCAGUGCUGGGGCACCUGGUGGUUGCACGGCGGUUGGUGUCACCUCCUGAGCUCCGCCUGGGGCCAGCUCCUGGCCCCUCCCACUGUUUCCCUCACUUAUGCUGGCUCUUGUUUUGGUAUUUCUUGGAUUUAUAUAAGUAAUAGAACUAGCUUUUAAUAAAACUUAAAAUUUUAGUGUUUAAAAG